AAGCUUGCACCCAACGGCCACACAACACAAACCCACACUAAACCUUUCUCUACACUCAUUCUCUCCACCAUUCAAAACCAAAAAUGAUAAAGAAAAGAAAGAGGAGUUGAGAGAAAGGAGGAGGAGGCCGUGGAGGAAGAAGGAGAAAUAGUUGCUAUUCACCAUUCUUGCUAGCAUCAAGUGUUCAUCUCCAUCACUUCUUCCCUUCAUUCUUCUUGAAGACCAAACCUAGGCCCAUUAUGCCUCAAGACGUGCAUUGUUGUGUGAAAGUUCAUAAGACUCAAGCAUGAGUACUAGUGUGACUUUUAUUCUAUUCUAGUGAGAAUAAGACAUUAAAGAGAUGUGCAAGCGGAUGCGAGUGCGCGGUGGAAUGUUGAAAUCCAAGUUGAAUAGAAUCGCAUGGGAGUGUCAUGCUAGAAAAUUGUUAGAGCUCACAAAGCGACAGUCGAUUGGUGGUUUUCAUACUGCAUGGUGUGGAAGGAACGUGUCCUCGUCUGUCUAUGAGACAUGUUGUUGGAGUUUGGGAUUAGUCUGGGACUCAUUUGACAAUUCAAUGUUGUUUAGUAUCACGUGCAAUGGAAUUCCAUGGUGACAAAGAACAUAAAAUCCCUGUUGAAGUAUAUGGUGAGAUAGUAAAAGAAAUGUUUAUAGGUGUAAGUGAGACUCGACAGAUAGCCACAUCGUGGUGGUUGAUAAUUGUGUGUGUGACAUUUUGAAGUCUUGUAUUUGGUUGACUAAGUAGGAAGACUCAUUGGUACAUUUUGUCCAGGAUCAAGCAACGGGCAAAGAGUUGGGGCUCCAUCUUGAGGAUGAGUGCACUUUAGUGGGUAUCUCUGCUAUGCACGAACCUCUGCUGACUUAUGUUUUUGUGUAGUUUUCACACCCAUACUUAUGUUUUUGUGUAGUUUUCACACAUGGUUGGGUGUUAGAGAUGACUGCCCUGAGUCUAAAACCAUUUUUUUUCUAUUAAGUAUUUGAUUUAAGUAGGCCUUGGCUUUGGUACUUUUGUUUAUAUGUAUAUUCAAUCAUCUACUAUAUUUUCAUAUACAAUUGUACCAUAAAGUAAUACACAUUACUUACUAAGGGAAAAACUUAUGCAUAUUUAUAUAUUUCAUAAUUUUUGGGA